rnacentral:rRNA from 1 species
UACGUAGGGUGCGAGCGUUGUCCGGAAUUAUUGGGCGUAAAGGGCUCGUAGGCGGUUUGUCGCGUCGGGCGUGAAAACCUACAGCUUAACUGUGGGCUUGCUUUCGAUACGGGCAGACUAGAGGUAUGCAGGGGAGAACGGAAUUCCAGGUGUAGCGGUGAAAUGCGUAGAUAUCUGGAGGAACACCGGUGGCGAAGGCGGCAUUCUGGACCAUAACUGACACUGAGAGACGAAAGCCAGGGGAGCAAACGGG